rnacentral:lncRNA from 1 species
UUGCAUUGUAAAAAAGGAGUCCAAAUCAAAUGAGAACUUUGGUGGAAGCAUCUCCUCUUGGGUCUCCAGGAAGGCAUCCCAGAACCACGCUAGGAAGGUGAGUGCAUGUGGGGAACUCGCAAGAUACUUGUAGGAUGGAACGUGAUACACGUCAUGGUCCAAUGACGGCCUCCACAACCCCCUCCGUGCUGGAGAAGAGAGCCGAACGUGGCACAUGGGCAUGCAACAUGUCCAAUAACCCAGGCAGGGUGGGGCCGCGGGGUCUGGCUCUCAGCCAGCUCCACCAGCGGAUUCCAGAUCUGCUGCGGUGGAUUGUAACAAAAAGUUUGCAGCUGAUUCUAGUCAAAAAACCACUGGGGGUUCUUUUCCCCUGAUGCAGUGUAACUGCAGACUCUUUUAAAACACAAAACAGGCACAGCACACAAACACACACACACACACACACGAAACAAGAAAAAUCCUGGCACUGGACUGCAAAUGGUUAGAGGGGUAACAAAAAAUGAGAAAGAAGCCAGCAAAUAACACGCAUGGGGUUUACUCAAGUAAAAAAAUAAAUGUCUUGGCUUAAAUAAGAGGGGUAUCUUUUGUUUGUUUUUUACCAGGAGGAUGUAGGCAUCAGAACCACUCACAAUGCUUUGUAAAAACCAAAACUGCCUGUGCUCUGCUCCCUACCUACGGAAACAGAAUCCUACACACAAGAGUGGCCCCCAGGAAUCUGAGCUGUUCAAAAGCUUCCCAGGUGUUUCUGAUUCACACAACCUGGGUUAAAAACCAAUCGCUUUGAUGACAGCUAGAAGCAGCAUUCAUAGAGGACUCUGAGGAGCAACACUAGAAUGACUGUUCGCCAGAAAUCAAGGAGAUCGGGCGUGCUGAAGGUUCUAGUACAUUCCAGAAUGUUCCUGCUUCCUGACAGGUGUUUGGCCACCACUGAACUUCACUUCUGAAUGUCAGGAUACCAUCUUGUAUACUCAUCUCACAAGAGACACAGUAUAAACAUGGCCAGAACUCUUGAUUCCUAUAAGAAAAACUAACCAUAGCAGCCUAGCAGGAGCCUGGGUAACAGGGCAAAACGCUGUCUCUAUUUUAAAAAAUACAAAAAAUUAGCCAGGGGUGGUGGCACACACCUGUGGUCCCAGCUACUAGGGAGGCUGAGGUGGGAGGAUCACUUGAGCCUGGGAGGUUGAGGCUGCAGUAAGCUGUGAUCACGCCACUGCACUCCAGCCUGGUUGACAGAGCCAGACCUUGUCUCCAAAAAAAAAGCCCAGGGGAAAUGGUGAUAACCAGUCAGUCUUUAAGGCAUUAUUUAGGGGUCAUCUCCCUAAGAACCACCCAGCAGCCUACAUAGCCUAUAUGUCACCACUGCAGUCCAUCACACAAACAACGACAAGGAGGCUCUGGGGAUAUCAAAAGCAGGAAAAGGCUUUGUAGAGAAUUUCACUGAUGGAAAAGGGUAGAGGGAAACUCCACAUUUAAAAUGUUACUCAAAUUUUCUUUUUCUUCUUCCCUGUUUCUGAAGUCCAAGACAUAGACAUGGGCAAACAAAACAAAAAAGAAAUUCAGGCCGGGCGCAGUGGCUCACACCUGUAAUCCCAGCACUUUGGGAGGCCAAAGCGGGUGGAUCACUUGAGGUCAGGAGUCUGAGACCAGCCUGGCUAACACAGCGAAACCCUGUCUCCAGUCAAAUAUAUAACAAUUAGCAGAGUGUGAUGGUGUGCGCCUGUAAUCCCAUCUACUCGGGUGGCUGAGGCAGGAGAAUCGCUUGAACCCAGGAGGUGGAGGCUGCAGUGACCCAAGAUCAUGCCACUGCACUCCAACCUAGGCAACACAGCAAGAUUUUGUUUCAAAAAAAAAAAAAAAAAAAAAAAAAGAAAUUCAGGGGAGUUAAAAGAUAACAUGAAGGGAUUUUAACAACUUUGCUAUAAUUACUCUGUUUUUCUUAAAGAGGUUCCUUGUAUUGUAACAAUCAAGAGAAUAUUUUGCAAUCUCUUAAAACAUAAGAUGGCGAUUAAGGACUGAGAAAUGCUUUUCCAAUAUCUGCCUUCCCUUUUUGUAGUUGAGAUAAAAAUAAAACGCCGCAGAGCAACCAAUUAAUUUACCCAGGGUCCAAGAAAAUAGAAGUGUGACAAGAAAAUGUAUCUUCUAAUUUCUAUUCACUCAGAAAAAUGUCAAAUUAAGCAAAGUUGUGGAUUUUUAACGGAACACGGAAGCACCGGAAAAGUACUAAUAACUCUUGCUGAGAAAUAGACAGCAGACAGAAGAAGAGGCAAACCCACAAUUGAGAAGAGCCAUAAAUGACAUGUAAGGCAAGCCCUGCUGGGCGGGAGCUUGUUCUGCAUCGUGGCCUACCUUGUAAACUCCUCACGAAGGUUGUUUGGUUCUGAAGAAUAGUAUUUAACUCGAAAGUGUAAAGCAUAAGCAGGUCCAACUAAACAUUUGGAGAUGGAAGGUUGAAGAUGUUUUUCCCCCAGUUUUGAAGAUCACAGGAUGGACAAAAGGGAAAGCACGUUAAAUCUAUAACAUUUAGCACAACAUCAGGACAGCAUAACUGGGCACGCGACACUAGCCAAUUCUUUUCAGUCCUCAUCAGGGAAACUGAGAUGGAUGGACUUUUGUGCUGACUAAGAUAGUUUAGCUAGUAACCUCAUUCCAGGAGAAAAACCCUAGUGAUUUAGACAGAUUACUAAAAGCUGACAUUUUAUUUUCACCCCUGAUGCCA